rnacentral:rRNA from 1 species
ACGAACGCUGGCGGCAUGCCUAACACAUGCAAGUCGAGCGCCUGUAGCAAUACAGGAGCGGCGCACGGGCGAGUAACGCGUGGGAACCUACCCUUAGGUUCGGAACAACCGCGGGAAACUGCGGCUGAUACCGGAUAAUGUCUUCGGACCAAAGAUUUAUCGCCUUUGGAGGGGCCCGCGUCGGAUUAGGUAGUUGGUGAGGUAACGGCUCACCAAGCCUACGAUCCGUAGCUGGUCUGAGAGGAUGACCAGCCACACUGGGACUGAGACACGGCCCAGACUCCUACGGGAGGCAGCAGUGGGGAGUAUUGGACAAUGGGGGCAACCCUGAUCCAGCCAUGCCGCGUGAGUGAUGAAGGCCUUAGGGUUGUAAAGCUCUUUUAACGGGGAAGAUAAUGACGGUACCCGUAGAAUAAGCCCCGGCUAACUUCGU